AUUGAACGCUGGCGGCAUGCCUUACACAUGCAAGUCGAACGGUAACGGGCCUUCGGGUGCCGACGAGUGGCGAACGGGUGAGUAAUACAUCGGAACGUGCCCGAUCGUGGGGGAUAACGAGGCGAAAGCUUUGCUAAUACCGCAUACGAUCUACGGAUGAAAGCAGGGGACCGCAAGGCCUUGCGCGGACGGAGCGGCCGAUGGCAGAUUAGGUAGUUGGUGGGAUAAAAGCUUACCAAGCCGACGAUCUGUAGCUGGUCUGAGAGGAUGAUCAGCCACACUGGGACUGAGACACGGCCCAGACUCCUACGGGAGGCAGCAGUGGGGAAUUUUGGACAAUGGGCGCAAGCCUGAUCCAGCCAUGCCGCGUGCAGGAUUAAGGCCUUCGGGUUGUAAACUGCUUUUGUACGGAACGAAAAGCCUUCUUUUAAUACAGGAGGGUCAUGACGGUACCGUAAGAAUAAGCACCGGCUAACUACGUG
rnacentral:rRNA from 1 species